CCAGGCGUAUACGCUUCUCAGUUAAGAGUACCCCAGCUCACUAAAUCAUGAGGGACACUGGGGGCUGAGAGUGGUUUGGGCUGGUUUUUUUUUUUGUUUUUUUUUUUCUCUUAAACUGGUGGCCAACAAAUGGCUGAGACAUGUUCGGUGCUUUACCUUUCUGCCCACAAAAAACUGGAGAUUUUGGCAUACCACUAAUUACAUCCCCCAGCCACAUCCAAUGCAACUACCUUUAAAGGAAGACCAGUGGCCAUUCUCAAAAAGGGUUUAAAAAAUCAGAAGAUUAAGAAGACUCUAGGAUUUGGAAGCUUGUGUUGUCUUUACCAGUAAUCAUUGUUUAAUCUCCAAGAGGCAGCCUUAUCUUAGCAAUGGACAGCUUAUUGGCUCCUCCAUAACUGAUCAUAAGCUGUUACUUUAAAUCAGUAUUUGGGAAACCCAGGCAUUUAUGCAAUGGAUAUGAAUGGAAAUAUAAAAAUACAUACCAGCCUGUCUCAAUAAAUUAUUAUAUCUCUAUAAUCCUUGAGGAAAGCACUUUGGCUUUUACCUAGAAAGGAUUUCAGAUCUGCUUUAUGGGCUCCCGCUGUCUUCAGUACCUGAUAAAACUUUAACCAGGGACGCAUUAAACAUGGCACAGCAGCUUCUGCCCAGGCUCCUGAGUUCCUGCUGGCAGCAUCUAUCAACACAAGAGCUAGGAUGCUUCCUGCAGUGGUACCAGCUUCCCCAAAGCUGGAGCAGGCUGCUUGGCCUUAAGCCCCAGCACGAGGAGGCCUCCCUCCUACCAGGUCAGUAGAGUUGCUCCAAAUUGUGUCCUGCCUGGCUGCAGGGUUUGCAGACAUCGCUACGGAGAAGUCAGCAAGGGAGACAGGUAAUGACUGUCUUCAGAAUGAAUUGGGUCCUCACAGCAAUCCCUGGAUGCCUUCCAAAAAGGUUGGGUAUCCGAGGCUAAGAGGAGGUCUGAUCUUUGAUUUGGUGUCAUUAAAUCCAGGGCAAUUCCAAAAAGUGCCUGGAGUCUCUGCUCUGAUACCCCAAAAAGGGAAAUGAUUUUAAAUAUUGAGGACCCUGCACCAAGG
rnacentral:lncRNA from 1 species